rnacentral:rRNA from 1 species
AUUAGCUAGUUGGUGGGGUAAGGGCCUACCAAGGCGACGAUCGGUAGCUGGUCUGAGAGGAUGAUCAGCCGCACUGGGACUGAGGCACGGCCCAGACUCCUACGGGAGGCAGCAGUAGGGAAUCUUCCGCAAUGGACGAAAGUCUGACGGAGCAACGCCGCGUGAGUGAUGAAGGCUUUCGGGUCGUAAAACUCUGUUGUUAGGGAAGAACAAGUACGAGAGUAACUGCUCGUACCUUGACGGUACCUAACCAGAAAGCCACGGCUAACUACGCGCCAGCAGCCGCGGUAAUACGUAGGUGGCAAGCGUUAUCCGGAAUUAUUGGGCGUAAAGCGCGCGCAGGCGGUUUCUUAAGUCUGAUGUGAAAGCCCACGGCUCAACCGUGGAGGGUCAUUGGAAACUGGGGAACUUGAGUGCAGAAGAGAAAAGCGGAAUUCCACGUGUAGCGGUGAAAUGCGUAGAGAUGUGGAGGAACACCAGUGGCGAAGGCGGCUUUUUGGUCUGUAACUGACGCUGAGGCGCGAAAGCGUGGGGAGCAAACAGGAUUAGAUACCCUGGUAGUCCACGCCGUAAACGAUGAGUGCUAAGUGUUAGAGGGUUUCCGCCCUUUAGUGCUGCAGCUAACGCAUUAAGCACUCCGCCUGGGGAGU